rnacentral:snoRNA from 1 species
UGAUGACAAAUCUCCGGAAUCUCUGUACUACUUUGAUGAAGCUUUGAACCCCUUUUCUGAUGACUGCUUUUUAAAAAAC